AUUGAACGCUGGCGGCAUGCCUUACACAUGCAAGUCGAACGGUAACAGGUCUUCGGAUGCUGACGAGUGGCGAACGGGUGAGUAAUACAUCGCAACGUGCCCGAUCGUGGGGGAUAACGAGGCGAAAGCUUUGCUAAUACCGCAUACGAUCUACGGAUGAAAGCGGGGGAUCUUCGGACCUCGCGCGGACGGAGCGGCCGAUGGCAGAUUAGGUAGUUGGUGGGAUAAAAGCUUACCAAGCCGACGAUCUGAAGCUGGUCUGAGAGGAUGAUCAGCCACACUGGGACUGAGACACGGCCCAGACUCCUACGGGAGGCAGCAGUGGGGAAUUUUGGACAAUGGGCGAAAGCCUGAUCCAGCCAUGCCGCGUGCAGGAUGAAGGCCUUUGGGUUGUAAACUGCUUUUGUACGGAACGAAAAGCCUCUUUCUAAUAAAGAGGGGUCAUGACGGUACCGUAAGAAUAAGCACCGGCUAACUACGU
rnacentral:rRNA from 1 species